UACAGAGGUCUCAACCGUUGUUCGGAUUCAUUGGGCGUACAGGGUGCGUAGGCGGUCGUGCAAGUCGGAUGUGAAAUCUCAGGGCUCAACCCUGAAACUGCAUUCGAUACUGCGCGGCUAGAGUGCUGGAGGGGAGACUGGAAUUUACGGUGUAGCAGUGAAAUGCGUAGAUAUCGUAAGGAAGACCAGUGGCGAAGGCGAGUCUCUGGACAGCAACUGACGCUGAGGCACGAAGGCCAGGGGAGCAAACGGG
rnacentral:rRNA from 1 species